UCAGGAUUAAACCUGAGCACGAAGUCGACAACGUCCGAAGACGCGCCCCUGGACCUCGGCCUCAAGUCCGCCGCUGACGAGGACGCGCCUCUCAACUUGUCGCUGAAGCCUGUACCUCCAAGCACGCAGGCUUCGGAUGCGUUAUCGCGCCUAACCUCUCUGAGUAGCUCUCUAAACGCUUCAAAUGACAGGAUAUCACGACGCAAACCUGGUGCGAAACCACGUCGAGUGGCGCCCGAACUGAACUCGCACGCCGCGGACUCUCCUC